UAAGAUCGGUGACAGAAAAGGAUCGCAACCAGGACAAAGUCUUGCUACGAGUUUGAUAUGAUCGUAGUUUUUCAUGUUGUAAUAAGGUUGGAUACGGCAAUAGAUCGCAACAAGUAUGAAUAAUAUCGUUUGCACCUAACAGGUUGUUGAGAAGUUGAGGACGACAAUUAACUUGUCACGUGCAGAUAAUAUCAGGAACUUGUUAUAUAAACUUGUAGAAAGGCUUUUAACGUCACGAACCUUGUUACAAGAUGAUGACAACUUGUUCCACACUUGACACAACAACUCAGAAGAAACAAUGCCAAUCCUAGUAUAUGACAGACUUUUCCCAACUUCUUUCCAGAUCUGUAACAAAGCAGAACAGGACAGGGCAGAACAGAACAGAACAGAACAGAACGGAACGGAACGGAACGGAACGGAACGGAACGGAACGGAACGGAACAGAACAGAACAGAGCAGAACAGAACAACUUAACCCAUUCUUAAUUGUAAACUCUUUCUAUUACUGGAUGGCGUGCACAAUUGCAUUCAUGCAGUGGUGCCGCCACCAGUGGCAGGUCUGGGUUUUGAUAAAGAGCUUGUAUUUCGCAUGUAUAGUUUGAUACUGUUUUAUUAUGUUGUUGACUACAUGGCACUCUCCUUUUGACGUCAGACCAAUUAGACUAUAAUGGGCAAAUUUUUGACUGACUUCUUUGGUUUUGGAGUUGAUUACUUGACUGCGGUGUCUCGUCAAGCUCGAUAUCAUUUCAUUCGAAUUGUGAACGAGCAAAGUCACCGCUAUUUUCGCCCUUUCUUUUAUUGUAGUUUGCACACAACGACGACCAUUAAUUUGGUUUGGUUCUUUACUGUUCACUGAAGGUAACUAUAUACGUUACAUUAUAACUUUAUUUAUAAUCAUUUAGCAUCUUUCUUUUAUUGAAGAUGUAUUUAACAAUUUUUAACAAUUAGAUUGCGCUCGAGCUCUAGAUUUCUAUGAGCGGUUUGUUUUAAUUAUUAAUUAAUAUUUGUUAAACCAUAUACAAUUGCAUACUAGGAAUUACUAUCGCAAGGAAUGUGCUGCCUCAGCGAUCUAAUCUACCCCCAGGGGACAGAAAAGACCGCAUGCAGAAUUUUCGGAAUAAGGGGCUGUUUAUAUGAUCCUACUUUGCCAGGACGAGAUGUGCAGCGGGAUUAUUUUGAUGCAUUGUAAUAAGGCAGCGUUUACACUGUACCGUUUUCGUAGCGUUCUCGUAUUGUUCGAGAGAACUAGACUAUUGUCUUGCGUUCCCUUGAGGAUUAAGAACAAUACGAGAACGCUACGAAAACGGUACAGUGUAAACGCUGCCUAAGUUACACUGAGUGCACGAUUCAAGCAAAAAACUUCAUUAUUUUCCGGAAAUCGAUUAUAGUUAACUGUAAGGUCCCAAACCUUGUUACAAUAUGCUGACAACUUAUACCACACUUGAAAUAACAACUCAGAAGUAACAAUGCCAAUCCUAGUAGAUGGCAGACUUUUCCAAACUUCUUUCCAGAUCUGUAACAGAACAGAACAGAACAGAACAGAACAGAACAGAACAGAACAGAACAGAACAGAACAGAACAGAACAGAACAAUUGACUUAACCCAUACUUAAUUGUAAACUCUUUCUAUUACUUGAUGGCGUGCACAAAUGCAUCAUGUGUGGGAGUUCAGUGGUGCCGCCACCAGUGGCAGGUCUGGUUUUUGAUAAAGAGCUUGUAUAUCGCAUAUAUAGUUUGAUACUGUUUUAUUAUGUUAUUGACUACAUGGUACUCUCCGUUUGACGUCAGACCAAUUAGACUAUAGUGGGCAAAUAUUUGACUGACUUCUUUGUUUUUGCAGUUGAUUACUUGACUGCGGUAUCUUGUCAAGCUUGAUCAUUUCAUUCGAAUUGCGAACGAGCAAAGUCACCGCUUUUUUCGCCCUUUCUUUUAUCACAGUUUGCACACAACGACGACUAUUAAUUUGCUUUGGUGCUUAGUGUCUGCUGAAGGUAACUAUACGUCACAUUACAACUUUAUUUAUAGUCAUCUAACAUCAUUCUUUUAUUCAAAAUAUAUUAAUGCUUAGUUUAUGUUAGUUUGCUACGUAAUAAGAUCGGUGACAGAAAAGGAUCGCAACCAGGACAAAGUCUUGCUACGAGUUUGAUAUGAUCGUAGUUUUUCAUGUUGUAAUAAGGUUGGAUACGGCAAUAGAUCGCAACAAGUCUGCACCUAACAGGUUGUUGAGAAGUUGAGGACGACAAUUAACUUGUAACGUGCAGAUAAUAUCAGCAACUUGUUAUAUAAACUUGUAGGAAGGCUUUUUACGUCACGAACCUUGUUACAAGAUGAUGACAACUUGUUCCACACUUGACACAACAACUCAGAAGAAACAAUGCCAAUCCUAGUAUAUGACAGACUUUUCCCAACUUCUUUCCAGAUCUGUAACAAAGCAGAACAGGAAAGGACAGGACAGGGCAGAACAGAACAGAACAGAACAGAAUAACUUAGCCCAUUCUUAAUUGUAAACUCUUUCUAUUACUGGAUGGCGUGCACAAUUGCAUUCAGUGGCAGGACUGGUUCUUGAUAAAGAGCUUGUAUUUCGCAUGUAUAGUUUGAUACUGUUUUAUUAUGUUGUUGACUACACGGCACUCUCCUUUUGACGUCAGACCAAUUAGACUAUAAUUAAUGGGCAAAUUUUUGACUGACUUCUUUGUUUUUGGAGUUGAUUACUUGACUGCGGUAUCUCGUCAAGCUCGAUAUCAUUUCAUUCGAAUUGUGAACGAGCAAAGUCACCGCUUUUUUCGCCCUUUCUUUUAUUGUAGUUUGCACACAAAGACGAUCAUUAAUUUGUUUUGGUUCUUUACUGUUCACCAAAGG